ACGCUCGACACCUACGGGAGGUAGCAGUGGGGAAUAUUGCACAAUGGGGGAAACCCUGAUGCAGCGACGCCGCGUGAGCGAAGAAGUAUUUCGGUAUGUAAAGCUCUAUCAGCAGGGAAGAUCAUGACGGUACCUGACUAAGAAGCUCCGGCUAAAUACGUGUCAGCAGCCGCGGUAAUCUGAGCGGGCUGGCAAGGC
rnacentral:rRNA from 1 species